rnacentral:rRNA from 1 species
UACAGAGGGUGCAAGCGUUAAUCGGAUUUACUGGGCGUAAAGCGUGUGUAGGUGGUCAAGAAAGUCAGUUGUGAAAUCCCUGGGCUCAACCCGGGAACUGCUUCCGAUACUUCAUGACUCGAAUUCGGUAGAGGGAGGCGGAACUCCAGGUGUAGCGGUGAAAUGCGUAGAUAUCUGGAAGAACACCAAUGGCGAAGGCAACCUCCUGGGCCUGAAUUGACACUGAGACACGAAAGCGUGGGGAUCAAACAGG